AACGUAGGACGCAAGCGUUAUCCGGAGUUACUGGGCGUAAAGGGCGUGCAGGCGGCUUGAUAAGUUCGGCGUGAAAUUUCCCGGCUUAACCGGGGGAUGUCGUCGGAGACUGUCGAGCUAGAGGGUGAUAGAGGCGUGUGGAAUUCCGGGUGUAGUGGUGAAAUGCGUAGAGAUCCGGAGGAACACCAGUGGCGAAGGCGACACGCUGGGUCAUACCUGACGCUAAAACGCGACAGCAUGGGGAGCGAACGGG
rnacentral:rRNA from 1 species